UACGUAGGGGGCAAGCGUUGUCCGGAUUUAUUGGGCGUAAAGAGCGUGUAGGCGGCUUGACAAGUCUGCUGUGAAAACUUGAGGCUCAACCUCAAGCUGUCGGCGGAAACUGUCAGGCUAGAGUCCGGAAGAGGAGAGUGGAAUUCCUGGUGUAGCGGUGAAAUGCGCAGAUAUCAGGAGGAACACCAAUUGCGAAGGCAGCUCGCUGGGACGUUACUGACGCUGAGGUGCGAAAGCGUGGGGGGCAAACAGG
rnacentral:rRNA from 1 species